UUAAUAUUAUUGCUACUUUCAAUUUUCCCCCUCAGUUCUCCAUUUCCGUUUCUGCGCCUCGGUCAAACCAGAAUAUCAUUAAGGCGAAAAUGCCAGCUUCAUGAGACCACACUCGUUCAUCUUCAACUUCGUAGUUCUCGCACUGGCGAAUGGAAAACUUGGAAGAAUCGGUGAAACAUUAGGAUUACAUCUUGUAAUUUGUGAAAAGCAAUAAAAUGAUAAAAUUGGCCUUUAUUUGCAUUUUAUUUCCAUUGUUUUGUGGAAAUACGGCGUAUGGUUAUCCAAACAAGGAAAUUGGCUGGGGAGAGCAUGUCGAGUUCAACAACAUUGUUCGACUAAAAUCAACCUGCCACGGUGUUGUCAUUGCGACGAAACCAAUAUUUGGUGUCCUUAUCACUGCUCACUGUUUCUUUCACGAUAAUGGAAGCAGGAUUAAACCACGCCCAAAUUUGGUCUUCAAUGGAAGAGAUGUUAACACGAAUGAACAGAAAACAUGGGAAACCGACAACUAUGACACAAUCAUCUUUCCAAAGUUUAAUUAUAAAUUGAAGAGCCACGAUGUUGCAAUUCUCAUAUUACGGGAUUCAUGGAAACCUUUCGUAAAAAAUCCAGUACCAAUUUUACCCUACUUAAUUUUUUCAAAACUACAUCCAAAAGUCUACUUCUAUUCAGGACUAAACGAAUCUACAGUACAUCAGCUACCAGUGGAUCUGGUUUCUCCAAGAUAUUGCAAGAAAUUGCAUGGACAAAAACAAUACUGCGGGCAAUUGUGUUCCUUUGAUCCUAAUAACACAAUAUCCAAAGGCCAUUCUGGAAGUCCGCUCAUCACGACGGAUGAAUUAAAUGGAGGAGACUUCGUUGGAGGCCUCGUCUCCUACGAAUACAUAAGAACUGGCAGGAUUAAUAUCACAGUUUUAACUAAUCUUGCUCCUUACUUGGAUUGGGCAAAUCUAUGCCUUGGAGGAAAUUGUGAGUUACUAAAUCAAGAGUAUGAAAAUAUAAUUUCAUCGUUUGUCGAAACCGACAAAAAUGAAAGUACAUUUUUGAACAGUGCAUAUUCCGAGGAAGAAUAUAAUUUUAACGAGAUAAGUCUCGUCAUUCUGCUCAUCAUUCUGGCGAGCUCUUCAUGUAUGCUAUUAGUCGUGAGAAUUAAACGAUGUAUGAUGAACCGAUAUAAUUGUUCAUAUAAUGCAUCAAUACUGAGCGAAAACGCUGAAGUAAAACUUACAAAUAAUUUACAGGUUUGAAACUGCGGAGUUUAUAGUUUCAAACUAAUGUUACUAUAUGUCAUUUGCCUGUAAUAAUUUAGUCGCAUCUUUAUGUUUGUAUUUGUCAUGUAUUUGUUCAUUUAACAUUUCUCAUAUUUGCAAAAAUCUCAGACGAGGAGUGGACAUUUAAAUACCGUAUAAUCCUUGAUAGCUACCUAUAUAUGUACACACAUACUGGAUAUGCAUAUAUAUACUGGAAAAAUACAAUAUUAAUUUGGUAAUAGCAAUGCAAUGAUUGGUUGUUAUAAUAUAGUCGAUCAUCGGCAGAAGAUCUUAGACUCUUAAUGACACAAUUAUGGAAGUACUUGGAUAAAUUUGGAGCUCUUGGCUUUUCUACUUGUGCACAAUGCUGUAUAAUCAAUCAUUUUCCAUGUUAAAUAAUUACCUUGAAAGAAAGCUGUUAUAGGUCGGGUUUUAUGUUCAAUGCUUUGAAAGCAGUCUGUUUAUGCAUUCGCGGAUAACGCAAUAAGGUUCACCGCAAUAUGAACAUAUUUCACAUAAUAUGCGAGUAAACAACCUUAAUUUUGAUUAGAUCUUAAAAUCUUGAAGAGUAAUCCCAGUCGGCAAGGACUAAAAAAUGUAAUAAAUGUUGUCGUUCUGGGAGCCUUUUUACUACUUAAAAAGGUAAAGCAUUUCGCCAAGUCAAAUGCUGAUAUGAGUUCAAAUGCAAUUAUUUAAAAAAUUUACUAUUCCGAAUGCUGGAGAGACAAGUUUGGAUGCGAGUUUCUGAGAUUUUUGUGAAUUGCGUCUUGUUGAAUUGUGCUUGUCCGCUUCUUAAAUAAGUUUACGUAUUCAUAUGGUAUAUACUUAUAUUUGUCCAAAUUUACUAGCAUAAAUUAACAUUUUUUAAUUCAAACUAAAGAACAAUUACUUGUGCCAAGAAAAAUAGGAAACCUUCAAAAGGAACAUAUUCCAUUGACGCUUCAAUUUAUUUGAUUAUGUCAAACAUUCUAAAAAAUGCAUCAGAAGUUACUAAAAGAAUGAAUCGGGUAUUCCGCAAAAUGUCAUGUUAAUUAAGUUAAAUAUUUAGCAAAUUAUAUAUUAAUUUAGACGUUGAGAUGAUUUUCAUUGUCGUGAUUUAUUUAUGUUCCACAAGCUGCGUGUAUACUUCAUUCCUUGGUAACUUGCGCUGAUUAGAAAACUUAAACAUUGCCACAAGUUGGUAAUGAGUGAAUCAUAAACGUACCAUUAUAUAUAAUAUGAUUUGGAAUAUAUAUAUAUUCCAAUUCAUAUUUAGCUGUAUUCCAUUAUUUAAUUUUGAUACAAUGCAAUAUUUCUGUAUCCAUGGAUAAAAUAAAUGUGUGUAUGUGUAGGGCGAAAAUUGCACAGCUUUCGUUUUUGGAAUUGAUCAAUUAGUUUUAAUUUUACUUGUAAAUCAGUUAUUCUUGGUUAUAUUUAUAUAUAAUAUCUUGCCAUCUUCGUCUAAUUUUAAAUACUGCGUAGUGUCAAAUUAAAGCAUGUACAUAUGCCCACUUAAAAUUUUUGCGAAAUACGCACAUUUACAUAAAUACGUAUGUAUGUACAUACCUACAUGAUUCCUUAAUAUGAUGGGUAUGCUAAAUUUUGACGUAUCGUAUAAUAUCUGAAGUUUGAAAUCAAGUUCAUGUAUUCCAUACUCAUAAUCGUGUAAGGUGCAAAACAGUGCUACUUAUAGUUUAAUCUAAUAAAUUCCUUGUUAAUUUAGAAGACACUAAAGUAAAGAGAAUCGCUACAGGGCUUUCCUCAAAAUUCUUUUAUAAAUCACGUGGUCAACAACUUCAUCCUUUACCUACAUACACGUGGACAUCAUGUAACCGGCAAUUAUCCCCCGUCUGAGAUAAAAUAAAACAGACAACAAUGUUAAAGUGUA